AAUGUAAUGCCUACAACAUUAAUGCACAAGAUCCCAUUAGAACUCCACAAUUAAGCGCACUUAGGCUAGAUUAGUACCAGGAUGGGUGACCUUCCGGGCAGUCCUAGUGUUUUACAUGC
rfam:Picea glauca, whole genome shotgun sequence.